GACGAACGCUGGCGGCGUGCUUAACACAUGCAAGUCGAACGGUGAAAGCGGAGCUUGCUCCGCUGGAUCAGUGGCGAACGGGUGAGUAACACGUGGGCAACCUGCCCCUCACUUCGGGAUAACUCCGGGAAACCGGGGCUAAUACCGGAUAUGACCUCCUUGGGCAUCCUUGGAGGUGGAAAGUUUUUCGGUGAGGGAUGGGCCCGCGGCCUAUCAGCUUGUUGGUGAGGUAGUGGCUCACCAAGGCGACGACGGGUAGCCGGCCUGAGAGGGCGACCGGCCACACUGGGACUGAGACACGGCCCAGACUCCUACGGGAGGCAGCAGUGGGGAAUAUUGCGCAAUGGGCGAAAGCCUGACGCAGCAACGCCGCGUGCGGGAUGACGGCCCUCGGGUUGUAAAGCACUUUCAGUAGGGAGGAAGGGUGUUGUGUUAAUAGCACAGCAUUUUGACGUUACCUACAGAAGAAGCACCGGCUAACUC
rnacentral:rRNA from 1 species